rnacentral:rRNA from 1 species
AUGUGGAAUAUAUCAUCAAGUGACUAAAGGGAUUGUUAGGGAUGCCUAGCAAACAUAUCAGAAAAGAAGUGGAAACACUAAAGGCAUUAGUAUUUUAUGACUAGUGCGAUCUUAAGGGAAACCAUAAACCUAAGUUGGUCGACGCCAAUAAAGGUGAUUAAUACUACGGACUGAACCGAAACAUCGUAGUAAGUCUAGGAAAGGAAAUCAACCGAGACCCUGUCAGUAGCGGCGAGCGAACGCAGGAUAGCCUAGUAAUAAAGUGAGUGAAUCUAAUACUCUGGAAUGGGUACUACCAUAGAAGGUAAUAGUCCUGUGGAUAUUACUACUUAUUACAUCUAGCUUGUAUUUAAAUGUAUACAAGUGAGUAGAGCGGCAUUAAACCUGCUCGAAUACGGGGGUACCAUCCUCCAAGGCUAAGUAUGAUAUGUUUAGCGAUAGUGAAGAGUACUGUGAAGGAAAGGUGAUAAGCAAGUCGAUGACUGGUGAAAUAGAGCCUGAACUAGCAAUCCUACAAGCAGACAGAGUAUUUAGUUAUGAUGUCGUACCUUUUGCAUAAUGGGUCAGCAACUUAAUACUGUAGGCAAGAUUUAUAAGUCCAAGCGAAAGCGACUAUUUUAGGUAACUAGAAUGGGGUAAGUCUGCAUUAUUAGACCCGAAACGACGUGAUCUAGCCAUGGACAGGAUUAUAGGUCCGAACAGAUGUACGUUGCAUAGUGCUCUGAUGAUCUGUGGUUAGGAGUGAAAUGGUAAUCUAACGUCGUGAUAGCUGGUUCUCUGCGAAAUGCAUUGCAGUGCAGCGUCAAUAUAAAGCUUAUAGUAGGUACAGCACUGAUUGACAUGCCCGCUACUUCUAGCAAUAGAACGUAAACGGCCGACUAGGGGGGUGUGAAAGCCCUAUCUAGGUCAGUUAACCUCGGAAUGAUUAUAAGUAUUCAUUGGCAGUGAGUCGUAGGGUGAUAAGGUCUUAUGACGAGAGGGAUACAGCCCAAACAAUGUGUUAAAGUCCCUAAGAUAUUGACAAGUGAAAUUAAGGAAGUGUGUGACCUGAUACAGCCAUGAUGUGGGAUUGGAAGCGUCCAUCAUUUAAAGAAAGCGUAACAGCUCAGUGGUCUAGGUCGCAUGCGCCGAAGAUAUACCGGGUCUUAAUCAAUACACUAAUACCAUUGUAUAAGUCCAACUAUGCUACUCUAAGCAGAAGUUGGAUUUAAUAAGUAGCAGAGCGUCCAGUACUUAUGAAGAGCAGUAUUUUAUUGUUUGGAGGUAACUGGAGUGAGGAUGCUGGCAUGAGUAGCAUAAAUGAAUGUUAAAUCAUUCACACCGAAAGAGAAAGGUUUCUGAGGGCAAGUUAGACUUCCUAAGGUUAUCAUUCCAUCUAGACUUCUAGAUGGUUUGGCGGUAUCUAAGGGAUUAGCCAAUGCGACAUCUCGAUGAUUAUAUUGCAAAACGGCCUAGCAAUAGGUCCAGGAAAAAAUGCAAUCUAGCUACCGUACCUUAAACCGACACAGGUUCUCGGGUAGACUAUACUAAGGUGACGGAAUAAUCAAAUUUAAGGAACUCGGCAAAAUGAUCUCGUACGUUCGACAAGAAGAGAUGCCCUCUAUAUAUUUUUAUAGCUGGGUGGCACAGAAUCGGGGGGUGCGACUGUUUACCUAAAACACAGCAGCCUGCUAACACUAACAGUGGUCGUAUAGGUUGUGAUUCCUGUCCGGUGUCUCGUGAUAUAGUGAUUGAAGUUGUAUUUUUCUAGUGAUAGGCGAUAUGAGUUCGAAGCUUGAAGACGAGAUAAACGACGGUCUUAACUAUAAGGAUCCUAAGGUAGCGAAAUUCCUUGGCCGCUAAUUACGGUCCUGCAUGAAAGGAACAGCGAUGCCCCCACUGUCUUAAAUUUGAGUCCGGUGAAAUUGAACUAGCCGUGCAGAUGCGGUUUACCACCAGUUAGACGGGAAGACCCUAUGCAACUUUACUAUAGUCAGAUAUUGUGUCAAUCUAACAUUUGUCACAGGCAUGAGGUAGUUUGGGUUUACUCAGACGUAAGUGAGAGACCUCAACAAAUCUUAGAUGCACUAACCUGUACAUUUACAGGGAAAGUGUCUGAUGGGUAGUUUUACUGGGACGGUACCCUCCAAGAAGGCAUCGGAGGGGUCCAAUAGGUACACAUAGCUUAGACGGGGACUAAGUGAUCAUGUAAGAUCAAAAUCAGCAUAAUGGCAAAAGUGUGCUAAAAUGUAAGACUGACAGGUCGAUCAGGUACGUAAGUAGGGCAUAGUGAACCGAUAGUAUAUUAUGGUAUAGCUAUCGUUCAACGGAUAAGUUACGCUAGGGAUAACAGGCUAAUAGCGCGAAAGAGUUCAUAUCGUAAGCGCUGUUUGGCACCUCGAUGUCGACUCAUCACAUCCUCCUGGUGUACAAGCUGGGAAGGGUUCGACUGUUGGUCGAUUAAAGUGGUACGUGAGUUGGGUUCAAUACGACGUGAGUCAGUAUGGUCCCUAUCUUCUGGUGGGACAUAUAGAACACAAAGAACAUCUGGUUAGUACGAAAGGACCAUCAGGUGCACAUCUCUGGUGUAUCUGCUAUUUGUUGCGUUUUUAGGAACGUUAAUGGUAUCGUAGAGUAGCUACAUGUGUUAAGGAUAAGAUCUGAAAGCAUAUAAGAUCGAAGCUGUUAUUUAGAAGCUAGCAAGCGACAGGAUGUAGACCACGUCCUUGAUAGGUCACAUGUGUAAGCGUUGCAAGGCGUCAGCUGAGUGAUACUAAUGAGUCGCUAGACUUGAUGAUACCACA